rnacentral:rRNA from 1 species
UACAGAGGUCUCAAGCGUUGUUCGGAUUCAUUGGGCGUAAAGGGUGCGUAGGCGGCGCGGUAAGUCGGGUGUGAAAUCUUGGAGCUUAACUCCGAAACUGCAUUCGAUACUGCCCGUCGCUUUGAGGGACUGGAGAGGAGACUGGAAUUCAUGGUGUAGCAGUGAAAAUGCGUAGAGAUCAUGAGGAAGACCAGUGGCGAAGGCGGGUCUCUGGACAGUUCCUGACACUGAGGCACGAAGGCCAGGG